GACUAUGCAUCAGCAAGGGACAUUAGAGCAAUGUUUUACUGUCUCCAUGCUCCUAAGCAUCCAUUUGGCAGCAGGAAGGGCAAUGCCAUUGAAAGGGGGUUGACGGAGGGAGGUAGAAGAAAUAUGCUGCUGCGGAAGAUGGAAGGCUGUGGAGGAGAUGCUUCCCUGCAUGAAGAGCAGAGGUGGCUCCGGUGCUGGGAUUCCUCCUGCUGAGAAGUGAAAAGCCUUGAGAAGAUUGGAUCAUGCAUUAUUUUUACCCUUGCAAAUAGUUCCCAGACGCACGGAGCUCAAGCUGUGAAAAAUGCACAAUGUAAGCCCGCAGUGUGCACCGGCUCUUGAAAUGCCAGCUGGGGAGCUGAGACUGGACCAUU